AUGGGCGCACACGACUGGCGCAGGUGGGACCACCACCGGGGAGUGCCCCGCUCGAUCCACGCGGGGGCGAGUGCAUCGACCGCCUGGGUGCCCUCA
rnacentral:ncRNA from 2 species